rnacentral:rRNA from 1 species
GACGAACGCUGGCGGCGCGCCUAACACAUGCAAGUCGAACGGAGUUAUUUGAAAGCUUGCUUUUGGAUAACUGAGUGGCGGACGGGUGAGUAACGCGUGAGUAACCUGCCUUAAAGAGGGGGAUAACGUCUGGAAACGGACGCUAAUACCGCAUAACAUAUUGUUUUCGCGUGGAGAUGAUAUCAAAGGAGCAAUCCGCUUUAAGAUGGACUCGCGUCCAAUUAGCUAGUUGGUGAGGUAACGGCCCACCAAGGCGAUGAUGGGUAGCCGGGUUGAGAGACCGACCGGCCAGAUUGGGACUGAGACACGGCCCAG